AAAAUCUUUAGUACCUAAAAAAUAAAUUCGGUAGAUGCUACCCCAAAAAGUUCUUCCAAAUGCCUAAAAUGACAAGCUUUUACCCCCCAACCGAAAUAUCAAGGGUUGAACUACCCCAAAUGGCACACACUCCCCCUUCUCAAAUUCCCUGAUUUUCUCCUAAAAACCUCCCUUUAUCCCUCAUUGAUUUCCUCCACCCAAUCACAAUCCCACUAUUC
rnacentral:lncRNA from 1 species